GACGAACGCUGGCGGCGUGCUUAACACAUGCAAGUCGAACGGAAAGGCCCCUUUGGGGGUACUCGAGUGGCGAACGGGUGCGUAACACGUGAGUAACCUGCCCUUGACUUCGGGAUAACUUCAGGAAACUGGGGCUAAUACCGGAUAGGAAUCCUUGCUGCAUGGUGGGGGUUGGAAAGCUUCGGCGGUUUUGGAUGGACUCGCGGCUUAUCAGCUUGUUGGUGGGGUAGUGGCUUACCAAGGCUUUGACGGGUAGCCGGCCUGUGAGGGCGACCGGCCACAUUGGGACUGAGAUACGGCCCAGACUCCUACGGGAGGCAGCAGUGGGGAAUAUUGCACAAUGGGCGGAAGCCUGAUGCAGCAACGCCGCGUGCGGGAUGACGGCCUUCGGGUUGUAAACCGCUUUCAGCAGGGGCGAAGCUUGUGGUGACGGUACCUGCAGAAGAAGCACCGGCUAACUACGUG
rnacentral:rRNA from 1 species